rnacentral:rRNA from 1 species
CCUACGGGUGGCAGCAGUGGGGAAUAUUGCACAAUGGGGGAAACCCUGAUGCAGCGACGCCGCGUGAGUGAAGAAGUAUUUCGGUAUGUAAAGCUCUAUCAGCAGGGAAGAAAAUGACGGUACCUGAGUAAGACGCCCCGGCUAAAUACGUGCCAACAGCCGCGGUAAUACGGAGGGGGCAAGCGUUAUCCGGAUUUACUGGGUGUAAAGGGAGCGUAGACGGCAGCACAAGUCUGGAGAGAAAUGCCGGGGCUUAACCCCGGAACUGCUUUGGAAACUGUGCAGCUUGAGUGCAGGAGAGGUAGGUGGAAUUCGUGGUGUAGCGGUGAAAUGCAUAGAUAUUAGGAGGAACACCGAUGGCGAAGGCAGCUUACUGGACUGUAACUGACGUUGAGGCUCGAAAGCGUGGGGAGCAAACAGGAUUAGAUACCCCGGUAGUC